rnacentral:ncRNA from 2 species
AUGAGAACAAGGGGAGAGACUGCCUUCAAAAAUACGGCAGCGCCGAAGGAGCAAGCAGAAUGACUGUGAAUCUCUCAGGCAAAAAGACUCUUGUUGGACG